rnacentral:rRNA from 1 species
UACCAGCACCCCGAGUGGUCGGGACGAUUAUUGGGCCUAAAGCAUCCGGUAGCCGGUUCUGCAAGUCCCCCGUUAAAUCCAGCUGCUCAACAGAUGGGCCGCGGAGGAUACUACAGAGCUAGGAGGCAGGAGAGGCAAGCGGUACUCAGUGGGUAGGGGUAAAAUCCGUUGAUCCAUUGAAGACCACCAGUGGCGAAAGGCGGC